rnacentral:rRNA from 1 species
ACAUGUCCGCAUGAUUAAAGGUAUUUUCCGGUAGACGAUGGGGAUGCGUUCCAUUAGAUAGUAGGCGGGGUAACGGCCCACCUAGUCAACGAUGGAUAGGGGUUCUGAGAGGAAGGUCCCCCACAUUGGAACUGAGACACGGUCCAAACUCCUACGGGAGGCAGCAGUGAGGAAUAUUGGUCAAUGGGCGAUGGCCUGAACCAGCCAAGUAGCGUGAAGGAUGACUGCCCUAUGGGUUGUAAACUUCUUUUAUAAAGGAAUAAAGUCGGGUAUGCAUACCCGUUUGCAUGUACUUUAUGAAUAAGGAUCGGCUAACUCCGUGCCAGCAGCCGCGGUAAUACGGAGGAUCCGAGCGUUAUCCGGAUUUAUUGGGUUUCAAGGGAGCGUAGAUGGAUGUUUAAGUCAGUUGUGAAAGUUUGCGGCUCAACCGUAAAAUUGCAGUUGAUACUGGAUGUCUUGAGUGCAGUUGAGGCAGGCGGAAUUCGUGGUGUAGCGGUGAAAUGCUUAGAUAUCACGAAGAACUCCGAUUGCGAAGGCAGCCUGCUAAGCUGCAACUGACAUUGAGGCUCGAAAGUGUGGGUAUCAAACAGGAUUAGAUACCCUGGUAGUCCACACGGUAAACGAUGAAUACUCGCUGUUUGCGAUAUACGGCAAGCGGCC